rnacentral:rRNA from 1 species
AGUGAACGCUGGCGGUAGGCCUAACACAUGCAAGUCGAACGGCAGCACAGUAAGAGCUUGCUCUUACGGGUGGCGAGUGGCGGACGGGUGAGGAAUACAUCGGAAUCUACUUUUUCGUGGGGGAUAACGUAGGUAAACUUACGCUAAUACCGCAUACGACCUACGGGUGAAAGCAGUGGAUCUUCGGACCUUGCGCGAUUGAAUGAGCCGCUGUCGGAUUAGCUAGUUGGCGGGGUAAAGGCCCACCAAGGCGACGAUCCGUAGCUGGUCUGAGAGGAUGAUCAGCCACACUGGAACUGAGACACGGUCCAGACUCCUAAGGGAGGCAGCAGUGGGGAAUAUUGGACAAUGGGCGCAAGCCUGAUCCAGCCAGACCGCGUGGGUGAAGAAGGCCUUCGGGUUGUAAAGCCCUUUUGUUGGGAAAGAAAAGCAGCAGGUUAAUACCCCGCUGUUCUGACGGUACCCAAAGAAUAAGCACCGGCUAACUUCGUG